rnacentral:pre_miRNA from 1 species
AACAUUUGAUCAUUUGUCUUAUUUAAAAUUUUUUUGCGAUUAAUAUUUUUAUUUUUACUAGAUGAUAAAAUAUGAAUAGUACUUUAUACGUGACUAAUUUUUUUAAGUUGGUGUACAAAUUUUUUAAAUAAGACGAAUGGUCAAACGUU